rnacentral:rRNA from 1 species
UGGGGAAUAUUGCACAAUGGGCGCAAGCCUGAUGCAGCCAUGCCGCGUGUAUGAAGAAGGCCUUCGGGUUGUAAAGUACUUUCAGCGGGGAGGAAGGGAGUAAAGUUAAUACCUUUGCUCAUUGACGUUACCCGCAGAAGAAGCACCGGCUAACUCCGUGCCAGCAGCCGCGGUAAUACGGAGGGUGCAAGCGUUAAUCGGAAUUACUGGGCGUAAAGCGCACGCAGGCGGUUUGUUAAGUCAGAUGUGAAAUCCCCGGGCUCAACCUGGGAAGUGCUUCUUACACUGGCAAGCUUGAGUCUCGUAGAGGGGGGUAGAAUUCCAGGUGUGGCGGUGGACUGCGUAGAGAUCUGGAGGAAUACCGGUGGCGAAGGCGGCCCCCUGGUCGAGGACUGACGCUCAGGUGCGAAAGCGUGGGGAGCAAACAGG